rnacentral:rRNA from 1 species
CAGAACUUUCCAGAGAUGGAUUGGUGCCUUCGGGAACUGUGAGACAGGUGCUGCAUGGCUGUCGUCAGCUCGUGUUGUGAAAUGUUGGGUUAAGUCCCGCAACGAGCGCAACCCUUAUCCUUUGUUGCCAGCGAUUAGGUCGGGAACUCAAAGGAGACUGCCAGUGAUAAACUGGAGGAAGGUGGGGAUGACGUCAAGUCAUCAUGGCCCUUACGACCAGGGCUACACACGUGCUACAAUGGCGCAUACAAAGAGAAGCGACCUCGCGAGAGCAAGCGGACCUCAUAAAGUGCGUCGUAGUCCGGAUUGGAGUCUGCAACUCGACUCCAUGAAGUCGGAAUCGCUAGUAAUCGUGGAUCAGAAUGCCACGGUGAAUACGUUCCCGGGCCUUGUACACACCGCCCGUCACACCAUGGGAGUGGGUUGCAAAAGAAGUAGGUAGCUUAACCUUCGGGAGGGCGCUUACCACUUUGUGAUUCAUGACUGGGGUGAAGUCGU